AUUGAACGCUAGCGGGAUGCCUUACACAUGCAAGUCGAACGGAGUGGCGAACGGGUGAGUAAUGGAUCGGAACGUGCCCAGUAGCGGGGGAUAACUACGCGAAAGCGUCGCUAAUACCGCAUACUAUUGGAGCGGCCGAUAUCGGAUUAGCUAGUUGGUGGGGUAACGUCCCACCCAGGCGACGAUCCGUAGCUGGUUUGGGAGGACGAACAGCAACACUGGGACUGAGACACGGCCCAGACUCCUGCGGGAGGCAGCAGGGGGGAGUUUUGGACAAGGGUGGAAACCCUGAUCCAGCCAUCCCGCGUGUGCGAUGAAGGCCUUCGGGUUGUAAAGCACUUUUGGCAGGAAAGCGGUACCUGCAGAAUAAGCACCGGCUAACUACGUGCCAGCAGCCGCGGUAAUUC
rnacentral:rRNA from 1 species